rnacentral:rRNA from 1 species
UACAGAGGUCCCAAGCGUUGUUCGGAUUCACUGGGCGUAAAGGGUGCGUAGGUGGUUGGGCAAGUCUGAUGUGAAAUCUCCGGGCUUAACCCGGAAAUGGCAUUGGAAACUGCUUGGCUAGAGUGUUGGAGGGGGGACUGGAAUUCUCGGUGUAGCAGUGAAAUGCGUAGAUAUCGAGAGGAACACCAGUGGCGAAGGCGAGUCCCUGGACAACGACUGACACUGAGGCACGAAAGCUAGGGGAGCAAACAGG